AAACCUCCGAGCUGCAGCCACAAGCUCUUCAGCAGACAUUGAGAUUUAACUCUGUAAAGUUAGUUUAAGGAAACCUGCAGGUGUAACUGUAGAACAUGUUAAGUCUCCUUUUAAAGGGUUUUUUAAUUUCUCCUCUGGGCGGGAUGGAGCGAGCAACAGCGCCUGCGCAGGUCCCUCCGUGGCCUCCACGUGGUGUGGCUGCAGCUAGACCAGACUGUAAUGGAGGAGCAGAAACACGAUGACUGCAACCUGUGAGAUGUUUCUCUAAAUGAUGAUUAAUGGAUCUACAGGUGGAUUAGAGAGCGGAUUUGAUUAAGGAUGCUGCAGAAGUUCAUGCCUGUGUACUCCUUUUGGAUCCCUCUGAGUGAGAUCAGUGUGCAGCCCUGACCUGAUGUGUCCACAACGAAGCAGCUGAAUGUGAUGUCACCUCUCGCUCACACUUGGCUGGAAGGUAAUCAGCAGUGACAGCAACAGCUGUCGAGCUGUGGUUGAUCAAGCUGGAGCGCAGAUGUCGAAGGAGUCUUGGAGAAGAAGACUGUCGUUCAUGUCUUGUGCAUAUAUUUAAAUAAACAGUUGACAGUA